UUUAAAUCGAAUUGGAUAGUAAACUCUAGUUUUUAUUGCAGUGCUUCCAAUUGCACUGAAAUUUAUUUGCUUUAGUUGAACUAUUUGGAAGUCUGGUAAAGACCUUGAGAAGUUGAAGAAGAUUGGAGAAGUAGCUUUGGAUCACUCAGAUGAACGUGCCUUAGGUCUUCAUUUGCUUCAUUUUUCAGAGAUUGUUGAAGAAGCUUGUAGCAAUCUCUUGCCGAAUGUGCUGUGUGAGUACCUGUAUAACUUGUCAGAAUUUUUCACAAAGUUCUACCCCAACUGUCAGGUGGUUGGCUCACCAGAAGAAACAAGCUGACUGUUGUUAUGUGAAGCAACUGCGGUGGUAAUGAGAACAUGUUUUAAUCUUCUUGGUAUUACCCCAGUCUACCAAAUAUGACAAGUUAAUUGCAAUUGUUGCAGUAUUUAUAGUGGGCAUUAACAAUAUUGAAAUUCGUUAUUGAGUUUACCAGUAUACAGUUGUCUGGUUAUGUUUUCAUAUUUAUGUAAAAUCUUUAUGUUACAUUGUUGCUUAUUUCCAUCCAUUUACUUCUUUUUUCCUUAAAGCUUUCUCAUAUAUAAUGUUUGUUGCUGUUAUAAUAGAGAAAAAAAAUCAUUCACCGUGAAUUGAAGUCAUCCAACAUUCUCAUAAAUGUGAAUUUAAAGGCCAAAGUUGCCGAUUUUGGAUUUACAAGAGUUGGUCCUGCUGAUGGUGGUCAAACUCAUAUUUCAACCAAGGUCAAAGGGACUGGAAUAUCUUGAUCUAGAGUACAUGAAGACCUAUUAAAUCACCCCAAAAAGUGAUGUCUACCCUUAUGGGAUUUUGCUUUUGGGAUUCUGACUGGACGUCGUCCUAUGGAACCCAAAAGACCUAUUGACGAGAGGGUAACCAUCAGAUGGCAACCAGCUGUCCCUGGAGCUUUGUUUGAAGAGAAACCACAAUCUGCCAAUGAUGCUUGGAGGAAACUCCAUUCGGAGUUGAAGAGACAUACUUCAUUACUCCACAUUAUUAAUCUUCUUGAAAUGUCAGCGCAACACAAAGCAGGCAACAAGCAGCUAACUUCCUCGAGUCUCAUGUUACAAUAUGAGUUUUGAUGAUCAGGAUAUUUUCUGUGAUUGCAAUAUGCUUCUGGAUGAGCUUUCUUCUCCAAGUAAGAUGCGGUGACUCAAACUGUCGCUAUUCGUGAAUAUGAGAAACCUUGUAAAGCUUUACUUUAGUUGAUAAAAUUUGUGCUCAAAAGUGCAGCCGUCUUGGACAAAUUAGUUAUUUUCUACAACAAGAAGGAUGAACUUUAUUCAUCAGAGGAAUACGAGUUCAUUUUGCAGUUAUCAGGCUUUCCAAGAGCCUCGCGGAAGGCAAAGGUUGUCUUUGCUUGAGAAAUAUAGUAAUGCUAAUACUUUGUAUUUAGUAACUCAUAGCUAGGUGCGUAGGUGCAUCGUGGGUGUUUAUAAUUACUCCUUAGAUGAUAUCUUUUGUUUAGGAGAUAGGACCCCUAUUGCAAAAUUCAGUGUUGCUGCUACUGGUAGUGGCCUAGUGUUAAAAUCAGAGAUUGUUAGGAAAAUGGUUCCAUUGUAGUGAUUUUGGUUCUUCAAAUUGUAGUCAGAUGCGGUUUUUAAAAUAUAAUCAAGGGGUAAUUCUUUC